GAUGAACGCUGGCGGCGUGCCUAAUACAUGCAAGUCGAGCGAAGCGGGGACGGGUGAGUAACACGUGGAUAACCUCCUAUAAGACUGGGAAAACUCCGGGAAACCGGAGCUAACCCGAAUACUUAUCGAUGGAUCAGCGUUGCAUGAGCUAGUUGGUAAGGUAACGGCUUACCAAGGCAACGAUGCAUAGCCGAUCUGAGAGGGUGAUCUGCCACACUGGAACUGAGACACGGUCCAGACUCCUACGGGAGGCAGCAGUAGGGAAUCUUUCGCAAUGGGCGAAAGCCUGACGGAGCAAUGCCGCGUGAGUGAUGAAGGGCUUCGGAUCGUAAAGCUCUGUUAGUAGGGAAGCGUUACCUGAUCAGGAAGCCCCGGCUAACUACGUGCCAGCAGCCGCGGUAAUAC
rnacentral:rRNA from 1 species